rnacentral:rRNA from 1 species
UACAGAGGUCUCAAGCGUUGUUCGGAUUCAUUGGGCGUAAAGGGUGCGUAGGUGGCGUCGUAAGUCAGGUGUGAAAUCUCGGGGCUCAACCCCGAAACUGCACUUGAUACUGCGAUGCUCGAGUACUGGAGAGGAGAUUGGAAUUUACGGUGUAGCAGUGAAAUGCGUAGAUAUCGUAAGGAAGACCAGUGGCGAAGGCGGAUCUCUGGACAGUUACUGACACUGAGGCACGAAGGCCAGGGGAGCAAACGGG